rnacentral:sRNA from 1 species
UUAGAAGAUACAAAGACAAAGACUCAUACGGACUUCGACUACACUAUUAA